rnacentral:rRNA from 1 species
GUUAAUUGCCAUCCGGUAACUGUUCUUUUCGAUACUGGAGCAUCUCAUUCAUUUAUCCCUGAGAGCUAUUCUCGAUUGCACAACACCACAUUUUGUGACAUGCCCACCUCCAUGGUAAUUCAAACCCCUGGUUCUAAGUGGCAAACCUCUAGGAUAAGCCAUGGAAAUGAAAUUCUUGUCGAUAGAUUGGUCUUCCUUGCAUCACUAAUAGCCCUCAAGUCCUCGGACAUAAACAUCAUCUUGGGUAUGGAUUGGAUGUCAGCCCACUAUGCUAAGAUUGAUUCCUCUACUAAAAUUGUUCAACUCACCCAUCUAUCGGGCAAGACAGUCAAUGUCUUAACUCAAGUGGCCAAGCAUCAGCUCUACUCCCUAAAUGCCAACCCUCUUCGAGACCUUGAAGAUAUCUCGGUAGUCCAUGAAUUUCCGGAUGUCUUUCCAGAAGAACUGCCAGGUGUUCCACCUGACAGGGAUGUCGAGUUCGUGAUUGACCUUGUACCAGGAACCAUUCCAAUCUCC